UGGAACAGAGUGCGAACAUAGAGCAGCAUAUAAGGUCACGGCUUAGUAAUCCCAAAUUACAUAUCCUGCCGCUGCGCUCUCUUGCCCUCCCACAUCUGAAGGACAUGUGGUCUUGUAUCAUAAUCAGCUAUCAAAAUCCUGGAAGCUAAUUACUUAUUGUUCCUCUUUUCUGAAAAAAAAUGGAUGGGUGAAAGCUGACACAUAAUAAUGUUAUAGAAAUGGGAAUUGUACCAACUCAGCUGGCUGGCACCCUCCAAAUACUCAUGAAUUCUAAUAUUUGAUGCAAAAGGAUGUUCAAAAAUAAUUUUUUAAAAAAUAAAAAAAAAUCCAGGCUUGUUAUUGUUGUGUGCACAUUUUUCAUGACCUCUUAAAAAAGCCAUACUCAUGCACCUUGGGUGCUUGAUGACUUUAUUCAGACUAUUGAGAUGACAAAGUACAGCUAAAUUGCUUUAGCGUUAAUUAUCAUCUUAAUAGUUAAUAAGAGUCAACAAGAAAGAUGGCUCACAAUUAAUUUACCAAAUUCAACUCAAAGGUUCUUAUCUUAGGUCUUGUCUAUGCUGCAUUUAAGAGUCUUUAAUUUGAGUACGUGAGUUUAUCUUUUUUCUUGAUUCAAAUUUUAGAGUUUGAGAAUUAGACUUUUCUAAUUUUUUAGAAACUAAAAGGAAAAGUAAGGGGAUAAAUAGUGAAAAUCAAGAAAGUAGGACUUCCCCUAUUGGUAUGAAGAACUUGAGAAAUCUUAUAAGAACAAAAAUUCCUAAUUCUAUAAUUGCAGAAAUUUUAUUGAUAUUUAAUGCAAACUAAAUGCCCAUUCAUAUGAAAUCAUAACUCAUGUAUUCAAAAUGCUUAGACAAUCAUAAAAUUAUUGUAAAACAAUUUUAUAUUUUGAUUUGGCUUAAUUAAUGGCAUUAAGAUACUAGAGAAAAUCAUUUACAAACGAGCUUAUCCAUUUACAAAUGUUAAUAUUACUACAAACAAAAUUGAAGUGUGCUGCUGAGCUUUGGAAGAAUGGGCAGCUAAACCAAAUAUAGAAAGAAAAGAAACUGUUCAAAGAAGACAAAAUAGUUGAUCAAGUCAGCUGCUGCCCAUAAAUUCUACAACAGACCUAAAGGUUUGUACAUAAAUAGUCCGCGAUGUUUGUACCAAAAAAAUCUAUAGUUGAGUUUGCUAAGCAAGCAUUUGAUAUUAAAUAUCUAAUGAUGUAUAUGGUUUUCAUUGUUUAUUUUUUUUUUUUUGCUUUCUGGUAUAUUUUCUUUUCAUUUAUAAUAUUGUACUUUAUCAUAAAUAACUAUCUUUUUGAAUAAUAAACAAUAAUUUAUGCACUUCAUUGAUUUUGAUUGGAGUAAAAAGACAAAGAAAUAUGCAAGAAAAGAAUAUGGAAAGAGGAUUAAUAAAAAUAUUAUUUAACCUGCAAGGUUCUUUAGAUUUAUUGUUCCAUUGAUUUAAAAAUUGCAAAAUAUUUUAUAUCAGCGAUAUAAAAUUACCUUCGGCAAACAGGUUCAGAGGAUAUAUAGCUCUAGAUUUAUUUCAAAAUACUUGAUAGUGGCGUUCAAGAAAAAGUACCUCACACUAAUUCCAUUCUUAUUUAUAGCUUGAUUAUUGCUUCGGUCGAGUUCCAAAAACUACCUUCCACCAAUAUCAUUCUUGUUUAUAGCUCAA
rnacentral:lncRNA from 1 species